AGAAGAGAAAGAGAGGGGAUGGGAGCAAAAAAAAAAAAAGCUCCGAAAAAAAAGUUAAUAAUGUUUAUUGUUACAUUUUCUGAAAGAAGAAUUUUAUUUUUUAUUUU
rnacentral:ribozyme from 1 species